rnacentral:rRNA from 1 species
AGUGAACGCUGGCGGUAGGCCUAACACAUGCGAGUCGAACGGCAGCACAGUAAGAGCUUGCUCUUACGGGUGGCGAGUGGCGGACGGGUGAGGAAUACAUCGGAAUCUACUUUUUCGUGGGGGAUAACGUAGGGAAACUUACGCUAAUACCGCAUACGACCUACGGGUGAAAGCAGGGGAUCUUCGGACCUUGCGCGAUUGAAUGAGCCGAUGUCGGAUUAGCUAGUUGGCGGGGUAAAGGCCCACCAAGGCGACGAUCCGUAGCUGGUCUGAGAGGAUGAUGAGCCACCCUGGAACGGAGACACGGUCCAGACUCCUACGGGAGGCAGCAGUGGGGAAUAUUGGACAAGGGGCGCAAGCCUGAUCCAGCCAUCCCGCGUGGGUGAAGAAGGCCUUCGGGUUGUAAAGCCCUUUUGUUGGGAAAGAAAAGCAGCAGGUUAAUACCCCGCUGUUCUGACGGUACCCAAAGAAUAAGCACCGGCUAACUUCGUG